rnacentral:rRNA from 1 species
ACUCAAAUGAAUUGACGGGGGACCGCACAAGCGGUGGAGCAUGUGGCUUAAUUCGAUGCAACGCGAAGAACCUUACCAGGGCUUGACAUGUAUCUGCAAGCUGCCGAAAAGCAGUCGCUUUCGAAGGUGAUACACAGGUGGUGCAUGGCUGUCGUCAGCUCGUGUUGUGAAAUGUUGGGUUAAGUCCCGCAACGAGCGCAACCCUCAUGUUUUGUUGCCAGCGAGUAAUGUCGGGAACUCAAAACAAACUGCCUCUGUAAAGAGGAGGAAGGCGGGGAUGACGUCAAGUCAUCAUGCCCCUUACGCCCUGGGCUGCACACAUGCUACAAUGGCUGGUACAAAGGGUUGCUAACCUGCGAAGGUAUGCUAAUCUCAAAAAACCAGUCUCAGUUCGGAUCGGAGUCUGCAACUCGACUCCGUGAAGUUGGAAUCGCUAGUAACCGCCGGUCAGCAAUACGGCGGUGAAUACGUUCCCGGUCCUUGCACACACCGCCCGU